UACGUAGGGUGCAAGCGUUAAUCGGAAUUACUGGGCGUAAAGCGUGCGCAGGCGGUUGGGUAAGUCUGUUGUGAAAUCCCCGGGCUCAACCUGGGAAUUGCGAUGGAGACUGCACGGCUAGAGUGUGUCAGAGGGGGGUAGAAUUCCACGUGUAGCAGUGAAAUGCGUAGAUAUGUGGAGGAACACCGAUGGCGAAGGCAGCCCCCUGGGAUAACACUGACGCUCAUGCACGAAAGCGUGGGGAGCAAACAGG
rnacentral:rRNA from 1 species